AGCGAACGCUGGCGGCAGGCUUAACACAUGCAAGUCGAGCGGAGAGAGGUAGCUUGCUACUGAUCUUAGCGGCGGACGGGUGAGUAAUGCUUAGGAAUCUGCCUAUUAGUGGGGGACAACAUUUCGAAAGGAAUGCUAAUACCGCAUACGUCCUACGGGAGAAAGCAGGGGAUCUUCGGACCUUGCGCUAAUAGAUGAGCCUAAGUCGGAUUAGCUAGUUGGUGGGGUAAAGGCCUACCAAGGCGACGAUCUGUAGCGGGUCUGAGAGGAUGAUCCGCCACACUGGGACUGAGACACGGCCCAGACUCCUACGGGAGGCAGCAGUGGGGAAUAUUGGACAAUGGGCGGAAGCCUGAUCCAGCCAUGCCGCGUGUGUGAAGAAGGCCUUAUGGUUGUAAAGCACUUUAAGCGAGGAGGAGGCUACUUUAGUUAAUACCUAGAGAUAGUGGACGUUACUCGCAGAAUAAGCACCGGCUAACUCUGUGCCAGCAGCCGCGGUAA
rnacentral:rRNA from 1 species